AUUGAACGCUGGCGGCAGGCCUGACACAUGCAAGUCGAGCGGCAGCGGGAAAGUAGCUUGCUACUUUUGCCGGCGAGCGGCGGACGGGUGAGUAAUGCCUGGGAAAUUGCCCAGUCGAGGGGGAUAACAGUUGGAAACGACUGCUAAUACCGCAUACGCCCUACGGGGGAAAGCAGGGGACCUUCGGGCCUUGCGCGAUUGGAUAUGCCCAGGUGGGAUUAGCUAGUUGGUGAGGUAAUGGCUCACCAAGGCGACGAUCCCUAGCUGUUCUGAGAGGAUGAUCAGCCACACUGGAACUGAGACACGGUCCAGACUCCUACGGGAGGCAGCAGUGGGGAAUAUAGCACAAUGGGGGAAACCCUGAUGCAGCCAUGCCGCGUGUGUGAAGAAGGCCUUCGGGUUGUAAAGCACUUUCAGCGAGGAGGAAAGGCCAGUAGCUGAUAUCUGCUGGCUGUGACGUUACUCGCAGAAGAAGCACCGGCUAACUCCGUGCCAGCCGCCGCAGUAAUAC
rnacentral:rRNA from 1 species